GUGUCAGCAGCCGCGGUAAUACGGGGGGAGCAAGCGUUGUUCGGAUUCAUUGGGCGUAAAGGGCGCGUAGGCGGCCUAGCAAGUCCGGUGUGAAAUGUACCGGCUCAACCGGGGCACUGUGCUGGAAACUGCUUGGCUUGAGUCCGAGGGAGGAAGGUGGAAUUCCUGGUGUAGCGGUGAAAUGCGUAGAUAUCAGGAGGAACACCCGUGGCGAAGGCGGCCUCUAUCUCGGUACUGACGCUGAGGCGCGAAAGCUAGGGGAGCAAACGGGAUUAGAAACCCUCGUAGUCC
rnacentral:rRNA from 1 species